rnacentral:lncRNA from 1 species
CUGUUUGCCACCACCGCCUCCUGCAGGGCCCACACGCUUCACACUUCCCUUAGGCUGCCGGUCCGCUUCCGGCCUCGCGGCGCGCACGCGCACUCAUAGGAGUGUUUUGACAGCUCCGGGCCUGGAGAAGGAGCAGGUGUCGCGAGAGUGGGCAGCGCGCCGCCUAGCGAGAGCUGGAAUUAUGGCGAACCUGGGAAGUGAGGCUGAGCGGGAGCCCCUCUUGGGCCCGGGAUCACCGGAAAGCAGGUGAGCAGGCGGGUGGGACUAGCUGGGAACAGUGAGUCCACUGUCCGGACCCGAAACCCGGCUGCACAUGCGCAUGCCCAGCAACGCCUUCGGAGCUGCUUAGGACAGGCUCCGGGAUAAUCGCGUGUACUUGGGAAUAGAGGAGAAUCUUGGUGCUUGGAGAACUUGUGUACCUAACAAAGCUGGGCAGGGGGAUGCUUCACAAAGGUCACAGCAGUUUCACAUUGUAGCCCUUGUGCUGUGUGUCUUAAGCAUCUGCCUGAAUCCUGUUAUGGUAAUUCCUUCCUCCUUGAGAAUUUCUUUUUCUUCACUAUUUUUCCUGUUUUGUAUGAAAAAACCUAAGCUGCCUCUUUUACAGCAGACACUGCAUUCUGUUGACCCUGUGUAGCUGUCCACUGUCACAAAAGCCCCAAAUGGUGGUUUUAACCGACACUCAAGAGCUAAACUUGAGUUAGACUUUUCCUAACCUAAUAACUUCUUCAUAUUUUGCAAAUAAACCCACUUAAAAUGACUCACACUUUGCUCAGUAUCACAGGUCCAAAAUAAACACACCUUUAAGCGUUUCAUUAGUAUUUUCAUCCUUGUAAUUCUCAUUUUGAUCCUUAUUCAUGAGCACUAAUUUAGAAAAGUUGGGCUUGUCUUACUGUAGCAAUAUGUAUUUUUACCUUUACGAAGCAGUAAGUAUUAUUUCAUCGAGUCUUUUGUUUGAAGCGCAGUGUGUGUUUUAUUAGGUUCAUCUUUUGAGGGGGAACAGGUGGCACAUGCAUCAUGGUUUGUACAGAGGCCAGAGGAUGGAUUACAAUUUUAUGUUUCUUGAUUUUAUCUUGAGGUGAUUAAAAUGAGUAGCAGUGUUGACAUUUGUUUUAAAAGAGCUGCAUCCCCCAGGCCUGUUGAGACCUUCGAAGCUGUUGGCUUCUGCCCUGCUUUUUGCUGUGCAGCCAUCCUUUUGGAGUUCUUAAGCUCUGUAGUUGUCCUGCCUAUUCCACGCCUAGAAGAGACCAUCCCUCUUCUCCCUUUUGAAAUCUGUCAGCAACCCUCAUUUAUGUUACCUGCAACUCCUGCCAACAACUUUUUUUCUUCCAGGCUUGUUAUUUGCCGGGACCCUGAAGUUAUUUUUACUUACUGUAAUUUUGUGCUUCUGAUGUACAGGCUCUGCCAGGCUAGAGCUCCCUGUUAGUCACAUGCAUAGGGCUGUGGCAUUUCCAUUUCCUAGCCUUCUUUGUGCUGCUUGCUUUUCUUCUGUUGUAUUUCAUGUCAGGCCUGUGUUUUCCAGAAAGAGCGUGGGAUCCUUGAGUCAUAGAUGUACAGCUAACCAUAGAAAUAUGAUUUUGAUUGAAAUAAGCUUAAACACAUUUUCUCUUACUUUUCUCUCCCUUUUAAAUAAGUGAUUGUGUUAGGCUUCAUCUAUAGGUGAAGAUGGACAGAUGUUCCUGUCCAUGAAGAGUUCAUUAGAUUGAACUCUAUGUUCUGUGUUUAGCAUUUUAAAAAUUAAAAGGAAACAUUUUCAGAACAAUUCAACAAGUAUUCUGUUUUUAAAAUCAUAAGUUGAUUCCCUAGUUAUGACUAACUGCAGGGUUUGCUCACUUGUACUUUACUGUACAAAGUUCAGUAUAGUAAGCCAGCAGCCCUUAUCAAACAAGAUUGACUAAUCAGGAUUUAUUGAUGUAAUUGGCUUAGAUCCUUCUUUUCUUGAGUGUCUAGUGCUCUCAACUGACUUCCUUUAUGAAUUUUAUUUAAUAGAGCAGAGGCCGACACUUUUUCUGUAAUAGACCCAUUGGUGUAUAGUUUAGGUUUGUUGGUUCAGGCCCAAAGGCAAAGUCAUGGAUAGCAUAGAUACUUAGAAGAGAAAAUCUGCAGAUCAUACUAAAUGAGUGCAUUGUUUAGUCAGUAGGUUGGUCUAUUGAGGAGAAACUUGGUCUUUGAAGUUAGUCUUUUGUCAUCUGGUAACAACUAUUCACCUGUAAACCAGUUUUAUCUAUCAAGCUAAAGACUGGUGGUGUCUGGAUUUGACCUAAAGAUUAUAGAUUGCUAGCCUUACCUUAGGUUUUUUUGAAAUACUACAGACACUUCAAAUUCUUAUUUCAGUAUUUGUCAAUAAAAGAAAUAUUACUGCACCCUCUGUCCUUACAUGUCUGCACUACCUCCCUCCUCUCUUCCCUCACUCCCUUCCUUUCUUCCUUCCUUUCAAGUAAGUUCUCACUUUGGAGCCCAGGCUGGCUCACAGCUCAGUCUGGUAGAGGCUGGCCUUGAACUUAGGGUCUUCCUGCUUUCCCUCCUUCGUAGUGCAAUAACAGUAAUAGGCAGGUGCUAGUAUGCUUGUCUUACAGUGCAGACCUUUUAUUUCUGUCAUAUGUCUGCAGUUAUAUUCAGUACUGCUCUCUCCAGAUGCUCACCCUUCUUGCUCUCCAGUUCUGAGUCUGACUGUUCUGCCUUUCUGUAGUGAGACCAGAGCGAAUUUUGAAAGUGCAGUGCUGCUCUGCCCCAGACUCUGUACAAAAACACACACUGAAUCAUAUUGUUUUACCCAGGUGUUCAGUUCAUGCCAGUGUAUUAUGUAUUUUUCUUGGAUUUUAAGUCAUAUAUUUGUUAAACAUUCUGCCAUCUGGAGCUGUGGUUAUCAAAAUAUUAGAACACCAUGGUUUUACUUGAGAGAGAAUUCCAUCAGGAAAAUGAAUGCCAGGAUACAGCAGAACUAGUAGAUAGAAGGUAAACGUUAAACAAAUCCCCUUGGAAAGAUGUACAGCAUUUUUUGUUUGUUUGUUUGUUUGUUUGCUUGCUUGUUUAGACAGGGUCUCACUAUGUGUGUGGAGCCGCACUCACAUUUGCCAUUACAAGAUGGCGCUGACAGCUGUGUUCUAAGUAGUAAAUAAUCUGCACAUGUGCAGGGGCAGUUUUCCUGCCAUGUGCUCUGCCUUUCUCGUGACGACAACUGGGCCGAUGGGCUGCAGCCAAUCAGGGAGUGACACGUCCUAGGAGGAGGAUAAUUCUCCUUAAAAGGGACAGGGUUCUGGCACUCCCUCUCUUCGCUUCUUCGCCUCUUCUUCUCUUCGCCUCUUCGUCUCUUUCUCUUCAUCUUUUCCUCUGCUCUCUCUCUCUUCCUCUCUGCCUCUCUCUGCCGCGCUCUUCCUCUCUUGCUCCUGAGUAAGCAAUAAAGCUUUGCCUCGUCUUUCCUGGCCGGUCGCAAACGCGUGCAAGAACUAUGUAUCCCUGGCUGGCCUGGAGCUACUAUGUACCUUCAAACUUACAGAGAUCCUGCUGUCUCUGCCACCUAAGUGCUGGGAUGAAAGGCAUGCGCCAUGACACCCAGGUUCAGUUUUUCUUCUUACACCCCUGUAAAGCAGAAGUCUGUAAAGCUCAGCCUCAGCCAUCUAACAUGUGUGUCAUC